GUUUAAUUCGAUACAACGCGCAAAACCUUACCAGCCCUUGACAUAUGAACAACAAAACCUGUCCUUAACAGGAUGGUACUGACUUUCAUACAGGUGCUGCACGGCUGUCGUCAGCUCGUGUCGUGAGAUGUUUGGUCAAGUCCUAUAACGAGCGAAACCCUCGUUUUGUGUUGCUGAGACAUGCGCCUAAGGAGAAAUUGCCACCGAGUGACGUGCCAGCGCUACUACUUGAUUGAGUGCCAGCACGUAGCUGUGCUUUCAGCAAGAAUUUCACCAUUGGGAGCCGGUGCCUUUCGAAGCANACCAUUGGGAGCCGGUGCCUUUCGAAGCACUUUCACGUGUGAACCGAAGUCGUCUUGCCCAAGACCCACGGAGACCUACCUAUAGUGACGUCAAAGUACCAGUGAGCAUGGAGGUUUGGUUGAAAUUGAUUACGACGACGUCGAGUUGGCGGCGGAGGAAGACUCGGCAUGAAGGCCAGAAAAUGGUGUGGAACGUAGUGGUAAUAGUACGCGCCCCGCUCCGAAACAAAGAAAAAGGUGCGUGCCGCACUCACGAGGGACUGCCAGUGAGAUACUGGAGGAAGGUGGGGAUGACAUCAAGUCCGAUGAGUUGUGAUUAGUUUACA
rnacentral:ncRNA from 1 species